rnacentral:lncRNA from 1 species
UAAUUAGUUACUUUAUGAUGCAGCAUGAUUGAUAAUGAUCAGAAAACAGAAGCAGCAGAUGAUAAAAAUGAGAAGAACACCUGAGAAUUCUCAUAAGCAAGUAUGAAAGCUGGGGAGAUGAAAAGAGAAUAAGACAACACAAAUCGAUUGUUAGUUGGAAGACAGCAUUAGAAUGUCCCUGCCUAAGUAACUUUUCCCUCUGCAAAAUUUCUUGGCAGGCUUUCUCCACUUGAUGAAAACCCUGGCUCCCUUUCACUGGUAUCUGAAUUUAUGGCCGUGACUAUUUAUGAGCUGAUAAAAGUACAGAAAUGGGAUAUUUCAGAGCAACAAGAAAACAUAAUAAUAAAGUUUCCAGCCUCUUUUUCUUGGAUAUAA